rnacentral:rRNA from 1 species
UACGGGAGGCAGCAGUGGGGAAUAUUGCACAAUGGGCGCAAGCCUGAUGCAGCCAUGCCGCGUGUAUGAAGAAGGCCUUCGGGUUGUAAAGUACUUUCAGUCGUGAGGAAGGUGUUAAGGUUAAUAACCUUAGCAAUUGACGUUAGCGACAGAAGAAGCACCGGCUAACUCCGUGCCAGCAGCCGCGGUAAUACGGAGGGUGCGAGCGUUAAUCGGAAUUACUGGGCGUAAAGGGCACGCAGGCGGUUAAUUAAGUUGGAUGUGAAAUCCCCGGGCUUAACCUGGGAAUGGCACUCAAGACUGGUUAGCUAGAGUCUUGUAGAGGGGGUAGAAUUCCAUGUGUAGCGGUGAAAUGCGUAGAGAUGUGGAGGAAUACCGGGUGGCGAAGGCGGCCCCUGGGACAAAGGACUGACGCUCAUGUGCGAAAGCGUGGGGAGCAAACAGGAUUAGAUACC